CAAGACGAGUCUUGCCACACUCAUCAGGUGAAUUUUAAAUUCACCUGAUGAGUGUGGCAAGACUCGUCUUGUC
rnacentral:miRNA from 1 species